GAGUGAAAUGAUGCUUUACCAUCUUUCGGGACUGACCUAAAAUGGAGACAGCCUUUUCAACUGAUCACUC